rnacentral:rRNA from 1 species
AGUGAACGCUGGCGGUAUGCCUAACACAUGCAAGUCGAACGGCAGCACAGUAAGAGCUUGCUCUUACGGGUGGCGAGUGGCGGACGGGUGAGGAGUACAUCGGAAUCUACUUUUUCGUGGGUGAUAACGUAGGGAAACUUACGCUAAUACCUCAUACUACCUACGAGUGAAAGCAGAGUAUCUUCGGACCUUUCGCGAUUGACUGAGCCGAUGUCGGAUUAGCUAGUUGGCGGGGUAAAGGCCCACCAAGGCGACGAUCCGUAGCUGGUCUGAGAGGAUGAUGAGCAACACUGGAACUGAGACACGGUCAAGACUCCUACGGGAGGCAGCAGUGGGGAAUAUUGGACAAGGGGCGAAAGCCUGAUCCAGAAAUACCGCGUGGGGGAAGAAGGCCUUCGGGUUGUAAAGCCCUUUUGUUGGGAAAGAAAAGCAGCAGGUUAAUACCCCGCUGUUCUGACGGUACCCAAAGAAUAAGCACCGGCUAACUUCGUG